rnacentral:rRNA from 1 species
AGUGAACGCUGGCGGUAGGCCUAACACAUGCAAGUCGAACGGCAGCACAGUAAGAGCUUGCUCUUACGGGUGGCGAGUGGCGGACGGGUGAGGAAUACAUCGGAAUCUACUUUUUCGUGGGGGAUAACGUAGGGAAACUUACGCUAAUACCGCAUACGACCUACGGGUGAAAGCAGGGGAUCUUCGGACCUUGCGCGAUUGAAUGAGCCGAUGUCGGAUUAGCUAGUUGGCGGGUUAAAGGCCCACCAAGGCGACGAUCCGUAGCUGGUCUGAGAGGAGGAUCAGCCACACUGGAGCUGAGACACGGUCAAGACUCCUACGGGAGGCAGCAGUGGGGAAUAUUGGACAAAGGGCGCAAGCCUGAUCCAGCCAUACCGCGUGGGUGAAGAAGGCCUUCGGGUUGUAAAGCCCUUUUGUUGGGAAAGAAAAGCAGCAGGUUAAUACCCCGCUGUUCUGACGGUACCCAAAGAAUAAGCACCGGCUAACUUCGUG